rnacentral:rRNA from 1 species
CAAUAAGCGGAGGAAAAGAAACUAACAAGGAUUCCCCUAGUAACUGCGAGUGAAGCGGGAAAAGCUCAAAUUUAAAAUCUGUCAGUCUUUGGCUGUCCGAGUUGUAAUCUAGAGAAGUGUUAUCCGCGCUGGACCGUGUACAAGUCUCCUGGAAUGGAGCGUCAUAGAGGGUGAGAAUCCCGUCUUUGACACGGACUGCCAGGGCUUUGUGAUGCGCUCUCAAAGAGUCGAGUUGUUUGGGAAUGCAGCUCAAAAUGGGUGGUAAAUUCCAUCUAAAGCUAAAUAUUGGCGAGAGACCGAUAGCGAACAAGUACCGUGAGGGAAAGAUGAAAAGAACUUUGGAAAGAGAGUUAAACAGUACGUGAAAUUGCUGAAAGGGAAACGCUUGAAGUCAGUCGCGUUGGCCAGGGAUCAACCUUGCUCUUGCUUGGUGUACUUUCUGGUUGACGGGUCAGCAUCAAUUUCGACUGUUGGAAAAAGAUCAAGGGAAUGUGGCAUCUUUGGAUGUGUUAUAGCCCUUGAUUGUAUACAAUAGUUGGGAUUGAGGAACUCAGCACGCCGCAAGGCUUGGGUUUUAAUUUAAACCACAUACGUGCUUAGGAUGCUGGCAUAAUGGCUUUAAUCGACCCGUCUUGAAACACGGACCAAGGAGUCUAACAUGCCUGCGAGUGUUUGGGUGGAAAACCCCAGCGCGUAAUGAAAGUGAAAGUUGAGAUCCCUGUCAUGGGGAGCAUCGACGCCUGGACCAGACCUUUUGUGACGGUUCCACGGUAGAGCAUGUAUGUUGGGACCCGAAAGAUGGUGAACUAUGCCUGAAUAGGGUGAAGCCAGAGGAAACUCUGGUGGAGGCUCGUAGCGAUUCUGACGUGCAAAUCGAUCGUCAAAUUUGGGUAUAGGGGCGAAAGACUAAUCGAACCAUCUAGUAGCUGGUCU